UUCUGUGCUCAAUUCAGCAGGAAAUACACUAACAUUGGAACAAUACAGAGAAGAUUAGAAUGGCCCCUGUGCAAGGAUGACAUGCAAAUUCUUGAAGUGUUCCAUAUUUUU